GAUGAAUAAAUCUGAGUCCAACUCUUACUAAAAUAAGAACUCAACAGGAAAUUAAUAUUUAAUGUGACAUAAAAGGCCCAAAUGCUUUCCCCUAGUAACCCCUCUUGUAGCAAAAUGUCUAGAAGUAGGUAUCAUCAUUACACUGCCAGCAUUAGUCAUCCUAGGUACUGCAUAGACACAUGUAGAUUUUGACAACUCCUUA
rnacentral:misc_RNA from 1 species